rnacentral:tRNA from 1 species
GAGGGUGUAGCUCAGUGGUAGAGCUCAUACUUAGCAUGCAAAAAGUCCUGGGUUCAAUCCCCAGAACCUCCA